UAAAAGCAAAGAGAGUAAUCACUUCAUUAUCAUUUUCUUCCAUAGCAGCAACACAAACAGUGAACUCAAUGUGAGUGAGAAAGAGAAAAUUGAGCAAACAUGUUGGCAUCAUUACACUGUGAUGAGCAUUUCAUAGCUUGAGGGACACAUACAGUCUCUUAGUUAAACUAAUUGAUUAGCUCACCAUUUAUUUUAAAAUUCUAAUCUUUUGAAAUGUUUCUAAAAUGAAUUGGCCUCUUUUCCUUCCUCAGAAAACAGAGUACGAUGAAUUUAAAUGAAUCUGUCUAGAACUGCACUGUCCAAAAUGAUCAGCACUAGACAGGUGAUUGCUUACAUUUAAACCUAAUUGAAUUAAAAUAAAAUAAAAUUAAAAUUUUGGGUCCUCAGUGAUACUAGUUACAUUCCAAGUUUUCAAUAACCAAUGUGGCCAAGGGCUACUUUGAGAGAGUAUAAUUAAUUUAACAUUUCCUUGAAUGCAAAAAGUUAUAUUGGACUCUGUUGCUGUAGACUCUAAUACUACUAGUCUUUCUUUCAGGAAUAAGAAAUCAUUUAAGAAGAUGUGGGUGCAAAAAUGCAAAAACAAAAGGAAAUUACACCAUGAUAGUUGGGCAUUUCCAUUCAGAUUUCCCUCAGUGGCCGCAGACUCAACACAUCUCAAGCCAGUAAGUACAUCUGGGAGACAUGUGGACUUCAGUACUGGACCUAGAAAAGUGGGCUGUUAUUUACCCUAGAUCAAAAGGGGGCACGUGUUCGAUCACUGGUCAAGGAACUAAGAUUCCAUAAGUUGCGUGGGCCAGCCAAAAAAUAAAAACACCUCCGAAGCUAUAAAUGCCACU